rnacentral:rRNA from 1 species
GAUCCUGGCUCAGGAUGAACGCUAGCUACAGGCUUAACACAUGCAAGUCGAGGGGCAGCAUUUUAGUUUGCUUGCAAACUGAAGAUGGCGACCGGCGCACGGGUGAGUAACACGUAUCCAACCUGCCGAUAACUCCGGAAUAGCCUUUCGAAAGAAAGAUUAAUACCGGAUAGCAUACGAAUAUCGCAUGAUAUUUUUAUUAAAGAAUUUCGGUUAUCGAUGGGGAUGCGUUCCAUUAUUUG